GCUCUCGGGAAGUUGGAUUGCGGGUCGAGCUGUCGCGGGAACGGCGGCGAGGCCUUCGCCAACGUCGAUGGCGAGGUCACCCGAGCAGUCCGAUCCGGGGGGGACGGAGAUGGACGCGCGACACGCGCUCCACGUUUGGAGCGGCCGCAGAGAGGUUUAAAUGGGGGCGUCGGGGACCCCUGCGUCCCGCGCUGCCUGCAACUGGGGCGGUGAGCAUGGCGCAGCUUUUCCAGCAGAACAUGACGCGGGCAUCCUCGGAAUUCGUGUGCUCGGCCUCACGAACUCCAAAGUCCACCAUCAUCCGACGCUGCGCUGCCAAUCUCCGCCCCACCUCCUUUCCCGUGGUUAGAUUUCACCUGCUGCAGGACGAUGUGUCCUUUAUGUGUUCGGUUUCUUAGAACACAUCAUUGCACUGAAUCGCUAUUUUGAUUGAAAGAAAAUGGAGUCCAACAAUGUAUAUAGACUUGAAUGUAUUAAAAUAAUUCAGCAAAACAAACAAGUCUAUAAGACAGAGAGAGAGAGAGAGUCUCUGAAGGCAUGUUUUUUGUCCUCGAUAAACCUUUUCAUGCACUUCAUAAUAGACACCAAGGAUUAAGCAGUUAUAUAUCAUCGCGAGGCCAAGUGAGUCAACCGAUCAACAUCUCACACUCUUUCAGGAGUCAAACAAAGGAGCAGCUGUACCACGUCUUGGCCAAUUUGGCAGGCAAGUUGUGCCAAAGAGAUCAGCUGGUGGAACCACCACAGCUUCGCAUUUGGAUAAGCAUGGAUGGGGGGCAUUCAUGGUGACAAUGACCACAAAGAAAGUGUGAGACUGGGCGGCUCAUGCCAUGGUCUCAGCACUUUGCCAUCACUGUUGCACUGGUGAGCUUUAGGCCAAUAAGACUGGGGGAAAGAAAGGCUUCGAUGCUGUGCUUUUGGGUACAUGGAUAUCAUGCUUCACACUGAAGUCAAAAGUUUGUUUGGGGACAAAGAGGAAGGCUUUCAAUGUGAUCUUUCAACCUUUGGGCAUUUUGCAGGUGAAAGGGUUCUUUCAUCAUGGAUGAUGCAAUAUUCUUAUUUAUCUGAUUAUUACUCUAUUGUUUUCGACAUUAUGAGUAGGAUUAUGUUGCAGUGUACAUAGAUAUAAAUGAUGGCAUCACAGGCAUUUAGCUAUCACUCUUUGAAGUGAUCUCUCUAUCAUUGUUGGUGAGGCAGCAGCGGUGCUUCUCAUCUGCAGUGAAGACCAUAAGCAAAUCAGUAAUGGAGAUCAGCACAGGAGGCAAUCUGCUAGUGGUGAUUUCGGAGGCAUCCG
rnacentral:lncRNA from 1 species